GGCCUUCUCCAUGGAGCUGUGGGGGCCUCUUUUCUCCUUAGUUGGGGCUGGAAGCCAAGAUCAGCUGUCGAGGAUCGUAGUGGGGAUGCCAGGAGCUGGGCAGCCUGUUUUUCUACUUCAGACACUG
ensembl:snoRNA